GCCGUGCCCCUCCUCUUCCUUUCGUUCCCAUCCAUUUCUUCCCUCUCCCUCUCUCCAUCCCGACAACAAUCGUCCCGUGCCCCGCCGAUCUCGCCGACAGGAGGCCCUCACCGCCGGCGACACUCAUCGACCCUCCCUUUCUCAAGCCGCCUGCCCCCACGCCUUCGCUCUGGGUGUGAUGGAGCCGGCCAUCGACACCUACUUCCGCAGCGCGGAUCUGGACUGCGUCGACCGGAUCAGCGACCAGGAGGUCAUUGCCUUCUUCAAGAGCUCCGGCCUGCCGCAACCCGUCCUCACACAGGUGACCCGCUCGGGGUGCGAUGGAGGCAGCCACAACGCCUACUUCCUGUCGUGCAGGCGCCCAUCGAUCUAAGCGAUUUUUACUCAGAGGGGAGUGUAGCUCGUGCAGAUCGUGCUCGCCGAGGCAGAGGUCGCCGCUUUCACAUCGGCGUCGCCGCACCUCGCUCCUUGAUCUGUCUCCCUGCGAGCCCAUGACCUACCACCUACUGACGCCCGACGUCUCAGAUCUCGUGCAGAGAAUCCCGACGGCUCCGCGCCAGAGCGCACGCUCUUCGGCUUCAAGGACCUGGCCCUCGAGGACGAGCACGCCUCCAUGAGCGACGAUGCUGCCAUGGCGCCAUUCUAGAACAGGAUCCCACCGCAUCACAUACAGGUGAUUGUUCCCUGUUUGCCCCCUUGCAGUGUCGUGAAUCGUUUCCUGUGGUGGGUGAUUCCAUUCACGCGUGCGUGCUCGACACAGGUAUCGGCAUCUGAUGCAGGACGUGUUGUCGCUGCUCCCGCACACGAAGAAUGACAACAAGGUCGAGUCAAAGCAGAGCAAGGGGAACGCUCUGAACGAGCUGCUCCAGCUGUCUUUCUUUUGAGGUAGACAUGCUUGGAUUGGAUGCAUAUCUCGGUUGAGGCUACUUUGGUGCUUUGCUUUACAUGAUCAUUGCUUCACUUGUUUGCUGAUGAUGGAACAAUCGUUGCAAAAUCAAGGGAUGAUUCUGAGCCUCCUUUGGUUAUUACUUGGACGGAUUUGAAUAUGUAGCUAGUGCAGUAUUUAAACUCAAGGUAUCGUAGGUGAGUUUCUCCACAUGUAAAGCUUUCUUAUUAGAUAUAAAGUUCAGUUUGCAUUGGACACAAAAAAGAAUUACUUGUCGCUGUGUGUAUGUGUCUGAUGUGGAGUAUAAGUUAUUUAUCUUUCAUGUGUUGCUCUUGGAGGCUACAACUACUGUCAGCAUGUUUUUUUUAAUGUUUCUAUCAAUAUUGCUAUAGCUUAGCAGAGGCUGCAGCUGCUUGCUAUAUUUGGCUGUUGUGGCAUUAUGUGUAACACACCCCACUACUUAUGGUGCAUGGAGAUGGUGCCUUCCUCUGCAUGAAUGAAUUUGCAAGGCAUCCACAUGCUGACAGAUUUUUGUGUCUCGAGGUGUGAAGUUUUGUCGCCUUUGCAAGGUGUGAUGGUCUCAAGCAUCAACAUGGGAUCAAAUGAACAAAGAGAACCAUGUGUAGCAUCAUGGGAUGCAUGGUGCAACAGGAUGUAGAUAUGUUAACAAAACAAGGAGGUUUACUAAAGCAAGUUGUAUAUCUACAGGAGUAGUAGUACCUCACAUAUGCAUAUUAACUAGUAAGAACAACAUAUGAUAGUAAUAACAAUAGAUCUUUAGUAAGAGCAUAAUCUGAAUUGCUUAUCAGGUAACAGAAAAUAAUAUAUUACUACUAAGAACAAAUCUGCUUGGUUCUAUUUCUAAUCAUUGUGUAAUUUUUGGCAACAUGAAAUUCUGUGUAAUUAGCUUCUAUAUUUGUGUGUUUUGCUCAAAGGCUGAUGAUAUUUUGUUU